UACGAAGGGGGCUAGCGUUGCUCGGAAUUACUGGGCGUAAAGGGCGCGUAGGCGGCUUGGUCAGUCCCGUGUGAAAUCCCUCGGCUCAACUGAGGAACUGCACGGGAAACUGCCUGGCUUGAGUUCGGGAGAGGGAAGCGGAAUUCCGGGUGUAGCGGUGAAAUGCGUAGAUAUCCGGAGGAACACCGGUGGCGAAGGCGGCUUCCUGGACCGACACUGACGCUGAGGCGCGAAAGCUAGGGGAGCAAACGGG
rnacentral:rRNA from 1 species